UGCAUGAAGUCGGAAUUGCUAGUAAUCGCGGAUCAGCAUGCCGCGGUGAAUACGUUCCCGGGCCUUGUACACACCGCCCGUCACACCAUGGGAGCCGGUAAUACCCGAAGUCAGUAGUCCAACCACGUGAGGACGCUGCCGAAGGUAGGAUUGGCGACUGGGGUGAAGUCGUAACAAGGUAGC
rnacentral:rRNA from 1 species